rnacentral:rRNA from 1 species
UACAGAGGGGGCAAGCGUUGUUCGGAAUUACUGGGCGUAAAGGGCGCGUAGGCGGCCUUCUAAGUCGAACGUGAAAUCCCUGGGCUCAACCCAGGAACUGCGUCCGAUACUGGAAGGCUUGAAUCCGGGAGAGGGAUGCGGAAUUCCAGGUGUAGCGGUGAAAUGCGUAGAUAUCUGGAGGAACACCUGUGGCGAAAGCGGCGCACUGGACCACAACUGACGCUGAGGCGCGAAAGCUAGGGGAGCAAACAGG